UACGUAGGGUGCGAGCGUUGUCCGGAAUUACUGGGCGUAAAGAGCUCGUAGGUGGUUUGUCGCGUUGUUCGUGAAAACUCACAGCUCAACUGUGGGCGUGCGGGCGAUACGGGCAGACUGGAGUACUGCAGGGGAGACUGGAAUUCCUGGUGUAGCGGUGAAAUGCGCAGAUAUCAGGAGGAACACCGGUGGCGAAGGCGGGGUCUCUGGGCCGUAAACUGACGCUGGAGGAGCGAAAGCGUGGGGAGCGAACAGG
rnacentral:rRNA from 1 species